CUAUGCUUUAACUUAAUAUUGGGUUGCCUAUAUUCUUUAAUUACAGUGCAUUCAUCUAAUCUGAAUGACUGAUUCUGAGCUGGGUACUAUGUUGUUUACGUUUCCAGAAGUUUACUCGAUGAUUGAUUUAUGAAGUGCAGUAUGUUUAGAUGUUGACGUGCAUUUUGGGGAUGGAUCUUGGUAGCUGCACACACUACCUCAUCACCAUGUUGAUAGCUCAACCGGUGUUAUAAAUGGUGGUUUUGGUGGUCUGUCGUUUGCUUGGUUUAUGUCGUGGUACGACGCUGGUAGCGUCGUGAAGGUUUCUAUAUAUAUAUGCCGGUUAUGUCA